rnacentral:rRNA from 1 species
UACGUAGGGUGCAAGCGUUAAUCGGAAUUACUGGGCGUAAAGCGUGCGCAGGCGGUUUUGUAAGACUGUCGUGAAAUCCCCGGGCUUAACCUGGGAAUGGCGAUGGUGACUGCAAGGCUAGAGUUUGGCAGAGGGGGGUAGAAUUCCACGUGUAGCAGUGAAAUGCGUAGAUAUGUGGAGGAACACCGAUGGCGAAGGCAGCCCCCUGGGUCAAAACUGACGCUCAUGCACGAAGGCGUGGGGAGCAAACAGG